rnacentral:rRNA from 1 species
UACGUAGGGUGCGAGCGUUAAUCGGAAUUACUGGGCGUAAAGCGUGCGCAGGCGGUUCGUUAAGUCAGAUGUGAAAGCCCCGGGCUUAACCUGGGAACGGCAUUUGAGACUGGCGAGCUGGAGUCUGGCAGAGGGGGGUGGAAUUCCACGUGUAGCAGUGAAAUGCGUAGAGAUGCGGAGGAACACCGAUGGCGAAGGCAGCCCCCUGGGCCAAUACUGACGCUCAGGCACGAAAGCGUGGGGAGCAAACAGG